rnacentral:rRNA from 1 species
UACAGAGGUCUCAAGCGUUGUUCGGAAUUACUGGGCGUAAAGCGCGUGUAGGCUGCUCGGAAAGUCGGAUGUGAAAGCCCUGGGCUCAACCUAGGAAGUGCAUUCGAAACUUCCGAGCUGGAGUGCUGGAGAGGAAGGCGGAAUUCUCGGUGUAGAGGUGAAAUUCGUAGAUAUCGAGAGGAACACCGGUGGCGAAGGCGGCCUUCUGGACAGCCACUGACGCUGAGACGCGAAAGCGUGGGGAGCAAACAGG